rnacentral:rRNA from 1 species
CGACNAGCCACCUAGCAUCGGGGCAUCGCAACUCAGCAGCAUCCACNNNACCAGCAUCCCACUAAAUCAGCUAGCGCGACUAUGUCGACUGCAUUCCAGCAUCAAACUAGCGAUCGCAGGGAAACAGCGAUCGACUAAAGACUAANAAGCCCCGCUAACUACGUGCCCGCAGGGGCGGUAAUACGUAGGGGGCAAGCGUUAUCCGCUUUUACUGGGUGUUUAAGGGAGCGUAGGUGGCGUGGUAAGUNAGAUGUGAAAGCCCCAGGCUCAACCCGGGAAAUGCAUUUGAAACCAUCAUGCUAGAGUGCAGGAGAGGUAAGUGGAAUUCCCGAGUGUAGGCGGUGAAAUGCGAAGAUAUUAGGAGGAACAACCAGUGGCCAAGGCGGCUUACUGGACUGUAACUGACACCGAGGCUCGAAAGCGUUGGGGGCAAACAGGAUUAGAUACCCUGGUUCCACGCCGUAAACGAUGAAUACUAGGUGUUGGGGUCAAAUAACCUUCGGUUCCCGCAGCUAACCAAUAAGUUUCCACCUGGGAAGUACGUUCGCAAGAUUUGAAAUCAAAGGAAUUGACGGGGAUACCGCACAAGCGGUGGGUCAUGUGGUUAAUUCGAAGCACGCGAAGAACUUUACCAAGCUUGACAUCCUUCCCGACCGUCCCGUAACGGGGACCUCUCUUCGGAAACAGGAGAGACAGGUGGCGGCAUGGUUGUCGUCAGCUCGUGUGGUGAGAUGUUGGUUUAAGUCCCGCCAUC